GCAUCGUAAGCUCAGUGGCAGAGCGGUGGGGCGUUUACCCAUGCGGCCCGGGUUCGAUUCCCGGUCGAUGUA